GACGAACGCUGGCGGCGCGCUUAAUACAUGCAAGUCGAGCGAGAACCGGAGCCUCGGCUCCGGGGACAGCGGCGAACGGGUGAGUAACACGUGGGUAACCUGCCCUCGGCACCGGGAUAGCCCGGGGAAACCCGGAUUAAUACCGGAUGGCCCUUUCGGUCUUCGGACCGGUCGGCAAAGGUAGCUUCGGCCUCCGGCCGAGGAUGGGCCCGCGGCGGAUUAGCUUGUUGGUGAGGUAACGGCUCACCAAGGCUCCGAUCCGUAGCUGGUCUGAGAGGACGAUCGGCCACACUGGGACUGAGACACGGCCCAGACUCCUACAGGAGGCAGCAGUAGGGAAUCUUGCGCAAUGGGCGAAAGCCUGACGCAGCGACGCCGCGUGCGGGAAGACGGCCUUCGGGUCGUAAACCCCUGUCAGAGGGAAAGAAGGGUCGCCGGGUUAAUACCCCGGUGAUCUGACGGUACCUUCAGAGGAAGCCCCGGCCAACUCUGUGCCAGCCGCCGCGGUAACAC
rnacentral:rRNA from 1 species